rnacentral:lncRNA from 1 species
CAACACCCACUUAUGCUUAUAAAAACGCGAUUUUUGUAACCGUCUCUCUCUCUUCCAAAUCUUAUCCCUUCUGAAAUCCACCGAUUCUUUUCAUUUUUCACCCGUCUGUCGAUCGUGAUCACGAUCUCGCCGUCACCACAGCAGAGCUCCAUCAUCCAUCGUCGCGGUUCUUCUGCAAAAAACCCAAGUAUAGUUCCUCGAUUUGCUUCUCUUCAUCGUUUAUAUCAUGAGUCCAUAGUUGCUCCGACAUUAGGGUUGAGGUUUGCGGAUUCCAACUGGAUUUGUUUGUCACCAGAGAUGUAACUACUGUCCUAGUUUGUUAUUCAAAUCCAGAUCGUCGAUUGUUGAUUCGAAUUUGUUUGAAUCCAAAGAUGUACCCACUAUCGAUUAUUGUUUAGGUUCUUCAUAUGAUUGAUGAUUGAGGUUUCGUAUAUGAUUGCAUAUGUUGAAUUGAAAUUCAUUGCAGGAAAGAUACUCAAAACGAUCGAACAAAAUACUCAUUAUAAUUUAAGUGCUUACCAUGCUGAAAUCCUUAGGGGAUGAAGUGCAAUUAAGGCCACUUCAGCCCUUGAAUCCUCUAUUCAAUCAAUCGAUGGGAGAUAGUAUA